UCCCUCCCAUAUUUCCAAGGGGCCAAGAAACUCAUCUACUUGGACCUUUCACGUAAUGGUCUAACUGGUCUCUUGUCUAGAGCUCAUUUUGAAGGACUCUCAGAACUUGUCUACAUUAAUUUAGGGAACAAUUCACUCAACGGGAGCCUUCCUGCAUAUAUAUUUGAGCUCCCCUCGUUGAAGCAGCUUUUUCUUUACAGCAAUCAAUUUGUUGGCCAAGUCGACGAAUUUCGCAAUGCAUCCUCCUCUCCGUUGGAUACAGUUGACUUGAGAAACAACCACCUGAAUGGAUCGAUUCCCAAGUCCAUGUUUGAAGUUGGGAGGCUUAAGG
rnacentral:misc_RNA from 1 species